rnacentral:rRNA from 1 species
GACGAACGCUGGCGGCGUGCUUAACACAUGCAAGUCGAACGGGCCCGCCCCUUUUUUUGGGGUUGGUUUGAGUGGCUAACGGGUGUGUAUCCCGUGUGUCACCUUCCCCCUGCUCCUGGAUACCUGCUUGAAAGGGCGGCUAAUCCGGGGUGUUCCGCCUGGUCCGCAUGGGCCUGGUCUGGCUAGUUUCAUCUUCGGUUGUUUCGGUGGGGGAUGGGCGCGGGGCCUAUCAGCUUGUGGGUGGGGUGAUUGCCCACCAAGGCGGUGACGGGUAGCCGGCCUGAGAGGGUGGGCGGCCAGACUGGGACUGGGACACGGCCCAGACUGCGGCGGGAGGCAGCAGUGGGGGGUAUGGCACAAUGGGCGGAAGCCUGAUGCAGCGACGUCGCGUGAGGGAUGGAGGCCUUCGGGUUGUGAAACUCUUUCGCGGGUGGGGAAGGCCCUGUCCGUUGCGGCGGGGUUGACGGUAGCCGGGGAUGAAGCGCCGGCUAACUACGUG